GCCGCGGUGGCGAAAUUGGUAGACGCGCUAGCUUCAGGUGCUAGUUCUCGCAAGGGAUUGGGAGUUCGAUUCUCCCCCGCGGCACUA
rnacentral:tRNA from 1 species